CAAAGGAUGGAGGCAGAAGCAAGAUUCCACACACUCACUUAUGCGCACGCACACACAAACACAAUGGACUUUACACAUGCUAAUGCUGCAAGGCGGCCCCUUUAUAUGAGAUUACACAGACAUUACAGUGAAAGGGUCAUAUGGGGCACCUGUAGCUGAGCGGCUCCACAGCCUGUGUUUGGUGUUUUUAGGUGUGUGUGUGUGUGUGUGCGUGCGUGCGUGCAUGCAUAAAAACAGCAAGAGAAUGAAAGGGUUUAAACUGAAGUAUGAGCAGACCUCGACGAGUGAUAAAGAGCCAACACUGGAGCCAUUCAGAGGACACUGUGCAUAUGUUGUGUGUGCAGUAAGACACUCUUUGUAUGAGUGAGUGUUUCUCUCCCUGUGUGCGUGUGCCUGUGUGUGGGCCCCAGGCUGACUCUGACAGCUCAGUGCUAGCCAUCUGCUGGCAGUCACACCAAGAGAAAGCCAACCACAGCCAAACAAUGGAGAGCAAUGACAAGCCAAUAUUCGUGUGUACGUGCCUUCAUUUUGGUGUGGUGUGAGAGUUCUCCCUUCAAAGAUCCAAAUGAGUCCCUCACUAUGAGCAUGUGCAGAGGGGCGUGGCUGUUGUUGAUAGGCUGUCUCUGUUACCAGGCGAUAGCUUAACAAGCCCAAAUGGCCAUCUGAGCAGGAUAGAUAGCAUGGGCAAGUGUGGGCUCCAUUUCUUUUUUUCUCACAUGCUGUCUGCCUACUGCCCGUUAGUGUGUCUGUCCAUCCCCUUUUCUAUUUCAUCAUCUCUCACCCUCUGGCUCUUCCACUCUCUCGUUGUACAUUCAACCUACAGCUUUCCUUUGAAGGCGAGGUGGUUGUACACUACCGAGAUUCGGUUUGUUCGUAAGAUGCACAUCAAAUGUACUUUCCAAUCUGUCUUUGUUUGUGUACAUUCAGGCUUCUCUCUUCCUGACAUACAGUAUGUUUGUCACCCUCUCCCUACUGGUCUCUUUCUCCAUCUACAGGUAUAGCGCCAUGGUGAAUGCAGACAGAUGGGCAGGUGUGGGGAGAAAGCUGGCUCGCCUGAAUUUGACACACCAGUGUGACAGCGAGCAUCAUCCAGCUGGAGGCCUGCAGAGCCUCCUAGAAAGAGCAUGCCAGGUGGCCAAGACACAGGCUGCUGGUCUCCCGAAGCCACUACGCACACAACUCUCCAGUCAAUAUCCAACCAUUUCGAUACUCCACCAACAAACGCUGCAAAGGGUGGUUUCCGCCGAAGAAAUACAGAUAGCAGAAGCAGGGGAACUACAAAGUAAAUGCCCGAUAAAGAACGGCAUCCAUAAGAGACGACAACACAAUCCAAGAUGAAUGAACUAGACGAUCUCCACUCGCUCCUUCUGUAGCUGCUCAACAAUCGCACAUGCUCUGCAGAGGAUCCGAGAGAGAUCCUCAAUAUCUGUGAAAUAUACAUUUCCAUCUUCUUAGUGGUUGCAAAUAAAUUCUACGGCAGGAAUACAACGUAAUUCAGCAUCUUUCUUUCACACUCACACAAACGUCUCACAUGCUUAAAGUGGAGUCACGUUGAGCAUGUUGGGCAUUUCUCGCUGUGUCCGUUUCUCCACUCUCUUCCGAUUAGAUACCAUCUCUCAUGCUCCUCACCCCCCCCGCCUGUCCCACCUCCUGCUCUCCAAUUUUAGUCCUCGACCUGUCACCCCCCUUCUCACACACUUAUCUCCUGCAGUGAGUUAUUACACCCACUACUCCGCUAUCAGUUCCAUAUGGCAUCUGCCUCAGAGAGACAUUUCCUCUUGGACUCCAGCAUCACAGACAACACAGAAAAAUGUUUGCUCGGACAAAAAAAAAAAAAGAAAAGAUUGAUGGGUAGAUUGCUGGAUAGAUAGUUAACAAUGUGUUUGUGUUGCUGCAGUGCAAUUGCUGUUAGACAAAUGACAAGUUUAAGUUGUUCCAUUCAGACAAAGACACAGGAGGACGGAUCUGCCAAAAGACCGACACGGAGGAGCAAAGAUAAGAGAGGCAAAAAUAAAAUAUAACCCUCACAAAAAAGGGAUUAGUGUACAGCAGUACAGGACAUGAAGACCCCCACAAGUCAACUCUGAACUUGUUAAGGUAGAACAUCUGUGAGGGCGCGGGAGGGAUGAAGAGGAGGAGAAGGUCAGGGGUAAACAGAGAGAGAGAGAGAGGGGUGGGGGAGGCAGAGGGGGGGAGAGGGGGAGGAAAAGGGAAAAGAACAGAUCAAAGCAUGAGAGCUUUCUGCUUCCUCUGCCUGUGUGUGUCAGUGUGCAGUGAGCGUGCGCGGGAGCGUGUGUGUGUGUGUGUCAGCGCUCGUCUGUGUGCAACGCGGGAGCGUGUGUGUCAGUGUGUGUGUGUGUGUGUGUGUGGUUGCGCACUGCAUGCCUGUGCUCCUAGCAGACUCAGACUAGGCAUUAAAAUUAUUGGUGCCGCCAGCGUGCCGCGGCCCCCCACUGGAAGGGGAGGGAGGUGAGCAGGGAGGGCAGGAGGAAGGAAAGGAGGGAGUCACACAGUGCUAAUCAGACCCAUGUGUGUGUGGCCAGCACUGCUCCGAACAGCUGCUCCCAUGCUGAGGACCAGGCCGCCACACACACACACACACACACAAAUAAACAAACACAUGUGAGCACACACACACACACAUGUCCUGUAAAGCCAUUUUGGUAUAAUUUGUUUGCUGUUUAAACAAACCUUAAUGAAUAUACUUGUAAAACGUGUCGAUGAAAAAAAAAAUAUAACUUAAUAUAACGUUCAUGAAUUUUUUAUUUUACAAUUUUCCCUUUAAACGCUUUCAGCAAAAAAGGAUGUUGUCUUUCACGGAUCGAGUACAUGACGCAAGUGAAACUGGGCUAAAAUAAAAAUACGAGCCAGGCAGAGUAAGAGCGGUACGGAAGGGGCGAGGCUCUUCCUCACACCACGGGGGGUAACAGGAAAAGUCAGAGAGCAGAGGGAGGAAGCGCUGUUAUUUAUUCUGUCAAUAAAGGGAGGACGACCCCCACUUUACAACUCACCCCAUUACAGACACACACUGCUCAGUGACGAGGUCAUCGAUCCAUCUUACUUUGGUGUUUAGAUUAGCGGUUUUGCUUUUAGUAAUUAGAUCUUGUACACUGCAGAAGGAGGAUUUCUUUUUGUGUGCAUGUGUAAUGAGGCAGAGCUGCGAUCUGCUUUAGGGAACGGGUCCCUUUGUAGUGGGCAGGGAAGUAGAGGAAUGUCUGGAAUCUCCCCAGAGGACGCAGGGUCUGUCCGGCCGACUCGCUCUCUCUCGCUCGGGUGCAUAUACUGUAUUUGUGGCUCUACAAGUCAACAGAACAAACGUAGCAGCUGACAAGUGUAAAACGAUUUGGAGCCAAUAAAGUUCCAUUAUGGAGCGGUAGCGUAUCAAAUAAAGCUUUUACCAGAGGCCUUGGGCUGACUGUGUGUGGGUUGAAACGGGAUGAAAGAGUUGGUGGUCAGACACUAAUCACUUUACCAGCUACACACGACACAAUAAAGUGCUGUUCCAUCCUGUGAUUUCUGUUUGUGUGUCGCUCUCCCCUAUCUUGCUGUCAUAGGUCACGUUUCCCGGCGUGUGUGUGUGUGUGUGUGUGUGCACGGUUGUGCAUUGGUAUGUCAACAAUGACAGAUUUGUUUCUGCAAUGAUGUCUGUAACACAAAAUGUGCUAGCAGCCAAUCGGAGCAGAGCAUCCGGUUGAUGACAGAUCAUUUGUCAAUCGUGAGUGAAUCGAGGUUGAAGAGAGGGUGUGUGUGUGUGUGUGUGUGUGUGCGUAAUGAAAAUAAACACAGAUCUCCAGCAGCUUUCUGUUCUGCAGCAGAGAUCAAAACAAAAACAAAUAAGUGCACGCAGCAAGAAAAAAAGGGAGUCAUUCUGGCGCUCGGUGGAGUCCAAGAAAUAAAUGUGAAUCACUGCAUGAACAUAGGUACGUUUACAAAUGACACAUCAACAGCUCUCUGUGAGAAAAGACAUUUUGUCCAUAGAGCUGUUGGGCACGGAGACAGUGCAGAACAACACAAAAGCUGCACAGUGUCCAGGGGAUGAAGAGAGAAGAGAAAGGGGAAGUGAGUGAAUGAUGUUAUGAGUGCGAUGAGUGAGUCCAGACUCCAGCACCAAACAGAUGUUCAGCACAGCGCCUGUGAUUCUGUCACCGUGAUCACGCAUUGUUCGCUCCUCAAAUCUGAUAUUGUUCAUUUAUUCAAUAAGGUGGCCAAUUCCCCAAAUUUGACCCCCAGUCACUGACCACAAAAGAGAGAUCAACACGCUGACCCUCACCUCCUCGUCUCUCUCACUUUCAUAUCCGACCUCAGAGGGGGAGUAAGGGAGACUACAUGAGGUUGAAAACAGAACCAAGCGACCUGGUGGACUUGGAGCUUUCAGGGGAAUGGGGGGGGGGGGGGGGGGGGGGGGUGUAUUUAGGGGGGCAGAGUAAAGCCAGAAGAUCCUGCGGGGUUAAAGGGCACACACGAGCAGAAGCACCAGUGUGCAGCACCACGGAUAUGCAGAUUGAGCACCUUGAAAAAGCACAGGAACAAACAUCCGGUUAAUGUGAAUUCAUACUGGAGAGCAGAGUAAUACGCAGUGGUGAGUGAAGAUGACCACUUCACUUCCACCUGGAGCAGCUUGAAGGUACUUACAGGCGUGAAGUCUUGUCAUCACCGUGUGGUUUUCAAGCGACUAAGCAGAACGCUCAAAAUGAAGAUGUUCACAAGCACAAGUCCUGCUUUGCAUUGUGCACAAAGCGUUUGGACCGUAUCACCGUGA
ensembl:lncRNA